ACUGUGAAGUCACAAGAGGCCCUGAGCUCUGUGGGCCCCAGGUGCCCCGGGAAAACUUGGGGGAGAAUGGGCAUCCCACCCCAGCACUUUCUAGGAAGAAGGGCAGCAUUUUGAAGGGCUGGAAGUAGAGGAAGGAGGUUGCGGGUAGAAGACUCCAUACUUUCUGUGACGCCUAUUCCUUAGCUUGUGAUGAAUGUUUUCUCAGUAUCCUAUGCUGAAAACAGGUAGAUACUAAUAUCGAUCUUCAAGGGAGGGCUGUUGAGUAUUGAAUAAGACAAAAACAUGGAAGCAAUCAGCACCAUGCUGGAAUCAAGGCUAUCUGUAAUCACAGGGCUAUUUGAAAAAGAGAAGAAAAGGUGUCUUGAAAUUCAACCAACAUGUUUCAAUUAUUUGCUCCUAAGAACAACAGAAGUUUCAACAUUCUGCCAACAGAGUAACUCCUGGAAGAUUGGCACAGAAGAAGGCACAAGGAAGUCAGUGAUAAAAAUAUUUAAGCAGCUUUGUCUGCCUUAGACCUUCCAACUAAAAGUACAGCAAGUGGAAUGGAAUGCUAAUAUGAGGAUCCAAAUUUUCAGGGAAGGAGGAGAGCCUUUAUAUAACCAAAGAUAUUUUUGGACCAUGAAUUCAGAAAUUCUCGGAGCCACCCAUCAGUGCCUGAGCUUCAGUGAGUCCAUAUCCCAUGUCACCCACGGCAAAGGAGACUCUAAGACUUCUGAAGAGUUUCUUGCUUCUUUCCUGUGGGGCAGUGACUCCACUUCCCAGCAGUAAUGGAAUAUCCUGAAUUAGCUACAUUAAUGUUAGAACCAUUUGGACCUCACCCAGGACUUCAACUACAUUAUGGAUGUUAUAAGAAAUGAGACUCACUACUGAAUUCACAGCAGGCAUGGUUGAAGGCACCAUUCACUAUAGCUUGCAGUGUUCCCUUUAUGAGAUUUGUAUGAGAAAUUCCUCUCAUAGGUCAAGUUCUUGGGAGAAAAUUCUCCCAAAGAGCAAGUCCCAGGAAAAUCUUGGCUGCUAAAGUUACAGAACCCAAAUUUGGCAACUGUCUGCAUCUGAACAACAGAAGUUUCAACAUUCUGCCAACAGAGUAACUCCUGGACGAUUGGCACAGAAGAAGGCACAAGGCAAAUACCCAUCUCUGUACACCCUGUGCUACUGUGUCAUGUGCUGCUCCAGGCAACUCCAAUGGAUUGGCCACCCUGGCCAAUGUGUUCUAGUAUGUUACGUUUAUGUUCCCCUGCUUUCUACAAUCCUGUUCAAAGAGUUGCUGACUUAACCACAGAGAGGAUUCCAGAACCUGAGACACAGAAUAAACUUGAGCAAUCAUAGUCCAUCCACUUCAUUGUCUCAUCAAAAACCAAAGGUCCAGUGAAGCUCUGGAACUCAACGCUGUAAAGGAGCGAAGGAGCUUCUAUACAGAGCCUGGAUGCCUGUCUCCUUAUCCUACUUCAGUGGACUUGACUGCAAUCCGGAUUAUGCUGUUUUCUAAGCAUUUAAAAUAAAAUAAAAAGUAUAAUAGUGUGAUAAGUUCUUUCACAAAGCAAGCAAUCACAUUUAUGUUUCUACUUACAUUUGGGUUUUCCAAAUAUGUGUGUGUGUGUGUGUGUGUGUGUGUGUGUGUGUAUGUAGACUUUAAACAUGGUGCAUCCAUCAUGUUGCACUAAAUCAAAACCACCAAAUAAUGAUGUAGAACUAAUAAAUCAAAACCAUCAAAUAAUGACAUAGAAAUCCAAUUCUCCCACCUUACACCCAUUAAGAUGGCUACU
rnacentral:lncRNA from 1 species